GAUGAACGCUGGCGGCGUGCCUAAUACAUGCAAGUCGAGCGAACGGACGAGAAGCUUGCUUCUCUGAUGUUAGCGGCGGACGGGUGAGUAACACGUGGCUAACCUACCUAUAAGACUGGGAUAACUUCGGGAAACCGGAGCUCAUACCGGAUAAUAUUUUGAACCGCAUGGUUCAAAAGUGAAAGACGGUCUUGCUGUCACUUAUAGAUGUAUCCUCGCUGCAUUAGCUAGUUGGUAAGGUAACGGCUUACCAAGGCAACGAUGCAUAGCCGACCUGAGAGGGUGAUCGGCCACACUGGAACUGAGACACGGUCCAGACUCCUACGGGAGGCAGCAGUAGGGAAUAUUGCGCAAUGGGCGAAAGCCUGACGGAGCAACGCCGCGUGAGUGAUGAAGGUCUUCGGAUCGUAAAACUCUGUUAGUAGGGAAGAACAUAUGUGUAAGUAACUGUGCACAUCUUGACGGUACCAAAUCAGAAAGCCACGGCUAACUACGUG
rnacentral:rRNA from 1 species